ACCGCUCUGCUCUGAGCAAAAUUCUCAGUUCAGUAAGGAAUAGAUGGGCCUGUAGCCCAGGUGUAAAACUAGGGACCACUCUGCUCUGAGCAAAAUUCACAGUUCAAUAAGGAAUAAGUGCGCCUGUAGCCCAGGUGUAAAACUAGGGACCACUCUGCUCUGAGCAAAAUUCGCAGUUCAGUAAGGAAUAGAUGGGCCUGUAGCCCAGGUGUAAAA